GGCGAAAAAGAUGAGCUCCCUUCGACCCAAUCCAGGAGGGGAAGUGGUCGGAUGCAGCUGCCGGUUCAUGGAUACCUGUCCGGUGCAUGCAGUUCGGUUGAGCCUGCGCACUUUGUAUAGGUUUUGCAUGACCCGGGAGAUGAACCUACCAGCAUCUUUCCCUCGUGCUUGGAUUGAAGGGAGCUCUCUCUCUCUAUCUC
rnacentral:pre_miRNA from 1 species